UACGUAGGGGGCAAGCGUUAUCCGGAUUUACUGGGUGUAAAGGGAGCGUAGACGGCAGCGCAAGUCUGGAGUGAAAUCCCAUGGCUUAACCAUGGAACUGCUUUGGAAACUGUGCAGCUGGAGUGCAGGAGAGGUAAGCGGAAUUCCUGGUGUAGCGGUGAAAUGCGUAGAUAUCAGGAGGAACACCGGCGGCGAAGGCGGCUUACCAGUCUGCGACUGACGCUCAGGCACGAAAGUGUGGGUAUCGAACAGG
rnacentral:rRNA from 1 species